ensembl:lncRNA
AGCUGUUCCACAGAGCUGUUAGAUCAGUCCAAAUGUAUAAAUCAUCCAGGAUCUGACACACUCAUUUAAUUUGGGGGGCCGUGGUGCAACAGCGGGACUAUUAAUGAAAAAUCCCUGCCCUGUUUGCUGAGUGGGAACAUUCAGUCUAUUUUAUUUUAUUUUUACGUGGAUAUUCCGCAUUAUUUCACCGAGUAGGCUGUUGGCGACCAACCUGGCACUUUGUCAUUUAUCAUCAUAUGCCGUGUUUGUCAAUCUGCUGAAUUCUUUUGGUCGGCAGUCCCAUGCAAAGAUCACUCUGCAUAUUAAGAAAACGGGGACACCUCCGAGGGCGCUAGCUGAGGAGCUCUCCGGCUCCACGCUGGGCCUGAAAUGGGACCCCAGUCACUGUGGCCCCUUGGAGUUUGCGUAGGCAAUUCUAUCUGAUGAAAAUGCUUUUGAC